rnacentral:rRNA from 1 species
ACUCAAAUGAAUAGACGGGGACUCGCACAAGCGGUGGAACGUGUGGCUUAAUUCGAUGAUCCGCGAAAAACCUUACCAGGGCUAGAAACCAAGCUGCACGCCUCCAGAAACGGAGGAAGCCUUCGAGGGUGCUUGGCAGGUGAUGCAUGGUUGUCGUCAGUUCGUGGCUUGAGCUGUUCCCUUCAGUGGGGUAACGAACGCAACCCCCGUUGUCUGUUACUUAUGUCAGGCGAUACUGCCCCCUCACGGGGGAGGAAGGUGGGGAUGACGCCAAAUCAGCAUGUCCCUUGAUGCCCUGGGCUGCACACACGUUACAAUGGGCGGUACAGAAGGACGCAAUACCGCAAGGUGGAGCAAAUCCCAAAAACCGCCCCCAGUACGGAUCGAGGUCUGCAAUCGACCUCGUGAAGCCGGAAUCGCUAGUAAUCGUAGAUCAGCACGCUACGGUGAAUACGUUCUCGAGUCUUGUACACACCGCCCGU